UUACUCUUCAGAAUUACAGAGCUGUCAAUGCUGCAAUUUUGUUGUGAAAUUCACAAUCCAUGUCCAAAAGUGCUUGUUUUACUAUACAGCAAAGAAGGAGAAAUUGUACUGGGCCGACACCAUGGUAUCUCAACAUAUAGUAGAUUCACCGUGAUACAUUGUACAUGUAGCUGGUCAGAUCAUACAAGAAUGUUGAGACAUGGAUAGUUGGCUUCCUGCGAAGAAGAAUGUAUAAUGUAACACCUGCAGCCAGAGAAUUCGGAGAAAGGGAUCAGCUCAAAGAACAUUGGAGGGGUCUGAUGACAAUAUUGAUAUAGGAUAUGAAGGUGAUCUACAACAUGAUUCUACAACUGCCAAUGAACUUCGGAUGAAGAGCUGGAGGGGAGUGGAGUGAGCAGAUUGCAGUACAGUCAAACCUGUCUAUAAAGACCACCCUUGGGAGAGCCAAAUGUUAUCUUUAUUGGGAGGUGGCCAUUAUUCACAGGUUAAGAUAUAUUGUAAAUGUUAAAAUGGGAAACAAAACAUGUUCUUUAGAGCCAGGUGGUCUCUGUUCAGAAGUGGUCUUUAACACGGGUUUGACUGUAUACACAUCAGUGGGAGUGGAACAGGCAGAUUUCAAUACAUACUUCAUCAGUGGGAAAAGCACAAUGAAGUUCAGCUGUUUCCAGCUUGAAACACAUGAGGUUGAAGUUGCAAGGAGAGACUGAUGGAAAAUGACAGUGACUGGACAGACAAUGAUGAUGGUGAAGAACUAUAGAAAACUGUGGAAAACUUUUAAUAGUGGACCUCAACAAGCAGACAUUGAUUCCAGUAUUCCAGACAAUGUAUCCCUCUCGUAGGUUAACUUUAAAGCAGGACUUGCACUGUCAUGUGGGGGAAAAACAUGAAAUGGAGACGAUCACUUACCAGCCUACACAGUUGACUUGAGAAGAAAUUUCUUACCAGUCAGGAAUUGGCCAAAAAGAAUGUUGAUACUGAUACAACUUCCUCGUAGCAACUUCAGUCCUACAGAUUUAUAAGGGGAGGCAACAAUUAUCACUAUUGACCUGGAAACCAUUGACCUAAUUAAGUAUGGGAAGAUGCCACAUGUCACACAAAGUCCGCAUACCACAACAAAGUGUUGUAGCACAGAUAUCUGUGUCACAACUAAAAAGGAAAUUUCACCAGAGGCACAAAGGAUCACCAGGAUUGCAUGGAAUAUUCAGACACAAUGACGAUAAAAAGCACAAUAGUCCAACACAUCUGUACCUGGAAUUAAGUCGACUGUAGAGAAAUUGUGUACUUGGCUUGAAAAGAUCCUAAAGUGUUAUAGAAGACAAUUUGAUUUUCCAGUUCUUGUCUUAGCUCUGCUGUGCACAAAAACAACUAGGACUUAUUCAGCUGAGUUUCUUCUUAAAAGUAUUCUUUUACCAGUGUUCAAGAAACUGUAUCCCUAAACAGUCAUACUUGCUAUGACACUACUUGGUAUCUGGUACAAUGCCUGUAACUGACAGACAGACAAAUUUAUUAUGAAACACUGGGAAUUUUCAAGCAGUGACAUAUAAUCAUGAUAAAUUUGGUACCAUAAUGUUCAUUAUCGUAAGUAAAAAAUGACAGCUGUAAUUGGAAAUUCGAAUUGUAUUUUACUCUAUAUUUAAGAAAAUUAAUAUAUUCAAACUUGUAAAUUUUUUUCAUUUGUUAAAAUGUUAUAUCAUAGCUUUAAGCCUUAAUGCCCUCUUUUUACAAUCUGCCUAAAGAAACACUUUAGUUGUUCUUGUUUAUUAUUUAGCCAUUUUCUUGAUUAAAAAUACACAACAAACGUCUAGCUCAAGACUUUCCAAGGUUGACAAGUUUUUACUUUCUUUGACUUUGCUUAAGUUUGUCAAUUAUUAGUAAUACUUUUGUUCAAAAUUAAUGAGGUGUAAAACCUUUAAAUAAUAUCCUUAAGCAACAGAUGUUAUGUUUUAAUAGUAAAGUAAGGAGGAGACAACCUUUACUGUAAGCUAAUGUAGCUUUCUGUCCAAUGCCUGAAAUGUUUUUUUGUAAAUACUUCAUGACUUUCUGAAUAAAAGUGUAUAUAAACCCCAAACUUCUAAGGAGCAAGAAGACAAAAUUUCAUUUUAUCUCGUGUAUAAAAUUAAAUUUGUGAUAUUUUUCUUAGUGAUAAGUUUCUCAGUGAUAACUAGACAUUUAAUUUUAUAUCUGUAUAGAUUUUUGUACAGUUAAUUUAGAUGUAGACAAGACAAUAUUUAUAAAGACUUUUAUACCCCCAACAUCUACUGAUGCGGGAGGCAUAUAGUGAUUGUCCUGUCUGUUCGUCCAUUUGUCCGUCUGUAUGAGGUUAACCAAAUGGGACUGUUACGUCUAGCAUCAAUACGCCUAACUAGAAUGACUUGAUACUAAUGCAGGUGUAAGCUUUGACCAUUCCUCAUCUUCAGACAUCACCUGACCUUAGUUUGACCUUGACCUUGAACUUUACCUCGUUUUGGAUUUACGUUACUUCGUUUCGACAAGGAUGCCACCGGGGGCAUCAAGCGUUUAUUGAACGCAGCUCCUUGUUUUUUAUGUUUUAAGCUACCUAAUUAUCUAUAUUAGAGAAAACUGUUAAAUUUUAAUUACUUUAUAAGCGAGCGUACAUGUAAAUCCUAUUUCACUAUACUUACAUAUUAUUGAAAGCUAAGGGACUCCAUUGGAAAUAAGUGACAUUGUUACUUUCACGGUUUAUCCCAGGCAGAAAGAUCAUCAUUUUUUUCCUGAUGUUAUGUAUUAGCUUGAUUACACUUGUAAAGUACAAACAUAUAAAGGGCUUACUGCAUAUUUAUUAAUUCUUAUAUUUUUUUUUAUUUCUGUACCACUUUGUAUUUCUGUUAUAAUUGGACCUUAUAUCUGAAUAAAAUUGAAUUGAAUUGAACUGAAUUGGAUUUUAAAUGAAACUAAACUGAACUGAAUUUUAGACUGAACUGAAUUCUAAACUGGAACCAAACUAAACUGAACUGAAUUUGAAACAGAAACUGAACUGAAUUUUAAACUGAAACUGAACUGAACUGAAUAAAGCUGGGUAAAAAACUACAGUACAGCUUGCAGAGAGCACCAAAAGGAAGGAAAAAUCAUGUUCUGUGUAUGCAACAUAGUUUGUUCUUUGAUAACAUAAAAAAAGGAACUGAAAAAGUGGUCUCUUAAUGCAAGUAGUCUCUAAAUCAAAUGUACUUGAUGAAACUUAGUAUGCUUUUGUGCUGCACAUUUUGUAAUGUAGUUUUGUGUCUAUGAUGAUUUCUUUAAAUAAACUUUAAACAUUA
rnacentral:lncRNA from 1 species